GUAUGCUAUAGCCGGGCACUUGGAAUAACUGUAAAUUAAAAAAGGAAGGGAGAGAGAAAUAGAUGAGUAUCCAAUUGGACCAAAAUGGAAACCCACCUAACCGGCCAGGCACCAACACAUUUGUUCCCCACCCUACAAAAAAUAUCAAGCAAGAAGAUAAACAUACGCAUACACACACAUGCACAUCGUGCGCUGCCAACAAAAGUUCAAGGUAUAGUAAUAAGAAGUCAACACUUACCGUUGCUGUUUGAAAGCAGAGUCUACAGAUGGUGUCCAUGACGCUGCUGCUCCUCCGCCUCUUCCAGCUUGUCGGGAAAGGUGUGGGCGGGAGCAGGACAACGUGCAA